rnacentral:rRNA from 1 species
UACGGGGUGCAGCAGGCGCGAAACCUUUACACUGCACGACAGUGCGAUAGGGGGAUCCCAAGUGCACAGGCAUAGCGCCUGUGCUUUUCGGUACCCUAAGGCGGUACCAGAAUAAGGGCUGGGCAAGACCGGUGCCAGCCGCCGCGGUAAUACCGGCAGCCCAAGUGAUGGCCGAUCUUAUUGGGCCUAAAGCGUCCGUAGCUGGCCACGCAAGUCCAUCGGGAAAUCCACCUGCCCAACAGGUGGACGCCCGGUAGAAACUGCGUGGCUUGGGACCGGAAGGCGCGACGGGUACGUCCGGGGUAGGAGUGAAAUCCCGUAAUCCUGGACGGACCGCCGAUGGCGAAAGCACGUCGCGAGAACGGAUCCGACAGUGAGGGACGAAAGCCAGGGUCUCGAACCGGAUUAGAUACCCGGGUAGUCCUGGCCGUAAACAAUGUCUGCUAGGUGUGGCUCCCACUACGAGUGGGUGCUGUGCCGCAGGGAAGCCGCUAAGCAGACCGCCUGGGAAGACCGUCCGCAAGGAUGAACCUUAAAGGAA